GCGCUAGAACCUUAGUGUGAAGGAAGAGGCUGGGGCUGGGCCUCUACUCCUUGGCUUGGGCAGCUGGAAAGCAAGCCUCAGCUUCCCCUUUUGAAAGUGCGGGAGCAGCAUGGCACUUCCUGUAACGGUCGUGGACCUCCCUUCGUGCUUUGCUCCUUGACUACCCUGGGCUUCCGCAAACGCCCUGCUAGCUAAUAGGCUCUUCCUUUCACCUGGACGGGCCUUGCUUCGAAUACAGCUGGUGGGAAGAGGGAGGGUAGUACAGAUCACGAUCUGUGUUACCUUCGUCAAAAUCACCGAAGCACCCUGUUCUCUUGGCUGUCAGAUGACUACCUUAAUCUCUGCUCUGCCCACGCUCCUGGGUUGCCCAGACCCCCUCAGCUCCAGAGGGCACCAUCCACAGAAAAUACAGUGUGAACAGCGUGGGGCCUAGCGAGGGGUGCAAAGCGACUCCGUAAGCGGCAAAUACUACACAUAGCUUGUGCAGGACUUCUCCAGUAUAGCAGGGAUCACGAAACAGGGAUCCCAGGGGCAAGAGCCCUAUCUUCGUCACCUCUGAGACCCAGGGCCUAUCACUGGCUUGGCCCCAGGUAGGCAUCAAUAAAGGUUCUUGGAACUGAGCUGACCCGGGAGAGAACAGGCAAGCUUGGGCAUUGAGAAAACAGUGUUGUGGCUCCAGGCUGCUGUAGUUUCCACAGCACGGGACCACCCUCUAGAGACACCACGUUCCCUUGCCAGGCAAGUACCAACAGAACAGUUGGCCCCCAUCAAACCCGGGGUUUAUUUUGUUCUCUCUCCUCCUUACCAGGUGAUCCUACUCCAGGCCUUUUGAGUUUUCCCAGGGAUUGUCCUACCCGGUAGUUCUCUUGGCAUCUUUCGAGUUCAAUCAACUUCCUGCAAAUAAGCCUCAGCAAAAGCCGCCCCUGCUCCGUGUGUAAAACAGCAGUGGCUCCCAGAGGGGCAGCUCUCCACUCAGAAAGAACGCCCCCUGUGAGGCCAGUUGAUGGAGUGUUUUCUGGGCACGUUUUCUCAUUGAAUCCUGAGUAUGGCUCUGUAAGCUACUGCCAAUAGCUCUUGUUGCCACCAGCAACCUUAUCCAAAAGAGAACAUUUCCGGCCCAGCAUUCCAAGCAGGAGUCCUGAGACCCACUCUGCCUGGAUUGCAUCACAUGCCCACCUGAACUCUUAGGUUCAGAUGGCAUUAGACUGCGCAGUGCAACCUGACCCCUGAUGGGUUCAGAAUGGCUCGUUCUCCCCUCGUCAGAGGAGUGCAGUAUGCAGGGGCACUCGGUAUCACCGUGAUGGAGCUGGAGCCCCGGGACAGAAAAGCCUGAGCAAGCCACACAGGUCAAAUCCUGGUGGAAAGUGUUCAGGCUCCAGCAACCUGUCUGCAACCUCUGCUGUCCAUAAUGGUGUGACUUCCAGCAAGCCAGUUAAUGAAGAGAAUAGCCCUUACUCAUAAGGGGAGAGUAGGGAGCAAAUCAGAUGACAAACGUGAAGGCUUAUU